CCUACGGGUGGCAGCAGUGGGGAAUAUUGCACAAUGGGGGAAACCCUGAUGCAGCAACGCCGCGUGAGUGAAGAAGUAUUUCGGUAUGUAAAGCUCUAUCAGCAGGGAAGAAAAUGACGGUACCUGACUAAGAAGCCCCGGCUAACUACGUGCCAGCAGCCGCGGUAAUACGUAGGGGGCAAGCGUUAUCCGGAUUUACUGGGUGUAAAGGGAGCGUAGACGGCAGUACAAGUCUGAAGUGAAAGCCCGGGGCUUAACCCCGGAACUGCUUUGGAAACUGUAAAGCUAGAGUGCAGGAGAGGCAAGCGGAAUUCCUAGUGUAGCGGUGAAAUGCGUAGAUAUUAGGAGGAACACCAGUGGCGAAGGCGGCUUGCUGGACUGAAACUGACGUUGAGGCUCGAAAGCGUGGGGAGCAAACAGGAUUAGAUACCCUGGUAGUC
rnacentral:rRNA from 1 species